rnacentral:lncRNA from 1 species
AUACAUCUCUUUUAAUCCAAAUUAAGUUACUUACAAUUACAUUUACAAAUUGAAAAAUGUUGAAAACUCUCAAUUUCUUUAUUUUGGCUUUGCUUAUAAUGGCAAGUAUUGAGAACAAGCUUAUUUCAAGUACUAGUGCUCGCCAAGAAUCUAAUCCAGAUGCUUCACUAUCUGCUAAUCUUGCGAUAUCUCCUGCGAUAUCUCCUAACAGUGAUGAUCUCUCGGGACAUACAAAUGAAGUAACUACUUUCAGUAACUAUUUGUAUGAAUGUCCCCCAGGGGGAUGCCGCCCAAGCCCCAUCAAUCGAUUUUAAUUUGUUAUUUCUCUUAUUAUAGAGAAAUUGAAACUAUAUAUGUUUUCAUAAAAGAAGGAAUUAAUCCUGUGACCUGGUCAUAUAAUAUGAUAUUAUGCGUGUGUAUGUAUUAUCUGAUGCUGUUUUAAUUUGUUGUUCAUACAUGAUUAAUUUGUGGCAUAAAAGAAGCGAAAUUUAUAUGGAUUCCAGGAGCACCCACUUUUAACUACAGAUUAGAAGAUUAGAAUUUCUAUGAACAUUAUUG